rnacentral:ncRNA from 1 species
AUAACUUCGUUGACGAGAACAAGUACAUCGCGAUAUCGUUCCUCAGAGAGCUGGCAUUUGCUGAAAGCCAGCGUCCGAUUCGUUUUGGAAUAUCCUCUCCGAGAAGCAGCGCAGAACACGCACAGGCGACCAGCCUUAUGCCAGUAAGCGUUGACGGACGUCCCCCGUUACCGGGAACGCGAUUAGACUCUCUAUUACGGAGUUGAUCGUGAUGAAGGUGCUAUUGGUACACCAUGGCGAUUGCCGAUGAGUCGACCGUAUGGUUGAAGGUGUGCGGAUAGAACAAGGGUGGUAACGCGAGCACGACUCGUCCCUUAU